AGUGGACUAGGGAACCUGAACAGGCGAUCCUUUCGCAGGUGCCUCGUUUCCUGGAGGGCCCCAGCUUUUUCUUCUGCAAAAUGGGCCACCAACGCCUACAAAGAACCGUGCUGCCCCGGGCCGAUCUCAAAAGCUCAGGUUUUCAAAGGAGUUCUCUCUGCUGGCCCUUCCGCCUUGUCUAGAUACCACAGACCCCCUCCCUGAGCAGGGCCAUUUUCCUCCCGGUUGAGGAGACUCGGAGAGAAGGCUCAGUGAGGACGUCCAGGGUUAGCAAGAGCACCAGAUACCGUUGGCUCCCCAAAUCAACUGGCAGGAAGCAUCAGAGAUGCAAACCUGGGCUACGCGUCAUGAAAGAUGACCGAGAGCACAGGACUCGCUGUCCUCCACAUUCAUUUGAACAGGAGGCACAGAGCGCUGGUGCUAGACCUGUCCCCAUGGAGCCGCGCUUGAGGGACUGCACCAGGAGGCUGGGUGUAUCUGAGCCUCCGAGGGCCUGUGGAGUCUCACGUCUUCCCAUGAGUAUGGGCUGGGUGUUCCGACUUGUUUCUAACAAAGGAAAACGGUGGACGGCGUGUUGUGCAGAUUCUGGAUCCAUGUCUUCAGGGGCAGACAGAGAAACAGGCUUGAAGUCAGAGAGUGGCAGAGCCACCCGUGUUCCUGCUCCGUAUGGUGCUCACCAAAUGACCACCCCAGGUCACCAUGCUAGCAGUGUCCAGCAGUUAUUUGGGGGUGGUGCAUGUGUCCUAGCGUAAACCACACUCUGACAUCAGAGUUCCAGAACGAUUUUCUGUCUAUGGGAGCAAGAACUCACUGUUUUGUCUUAAACAACCGUCUCUGUUAAGGAUGCUAAAGAGUUAUCGUGGGGGCUGUGGAUGGGCUGGAGCUCUCUGUCGGACCCUGCGACUAGGUCCCCAGGAAGAAUGGCAGGUACUGGCCUGUUUCUAGGCUGUGGGUAAAGGGAUGGAGGCGUGAGGAGAUGCAGGGGAUGGUGGGAUGGUGGAAGGGCUGCGGCUUAAUCCUGAGGUAGCUAUGAGGGAUUGCCCGGCUGCAGGCAAGGGCACAGGUGAGUAGAGGGGCAGACCAGCUUCGCUUUCUGUUGUAUAAGCAUGAUUCAGCUGGUUCUGGAACUCACCAAGUACGAGGAAACAUUAACCUAACCAGGACUGUGGCCUUGGGAAGUCAAGGUGAGCAGGGUAAGUGACCCAAACUUUGUUUGGUUUUGUGGAGACAGGGUCUCACCAUGUACGUCCAGGCUAGCCUGAACCUGGAGACUUAUCCCUUAGCUCAGCUUUCUGGGAAUGGGAUUGCAGGUGUGUGUCACCAAGCCUAGCUACAAACUUUCUUUUUGGGGGCAGAGUUCUCCUCUCUUGGGACCUUCUCUUCAGACACUGGCCUCCCACCUUGUAAGCCACAGCUAACACCCCACUCCUUGGAACCUUUCUCCAGAGGUGACGGUGGUCCAUCUCACUUCUCCCUAGAAGAGCCCACCAUGUGUUUGACACAGAAUGUAAAAUGGGUGUUGGCCUCAGGCCUCGCUGUAACUCUGCCUUGAACCACAGCCCAUGUGACCACCUGAAAACACAACAUCUCUCUUUUUAAAGAGAUGAGGUGUGUUCAGAAAGUUCGAGGUCUUUCGUAAUGCCAUAUCUCUGCAACGGUGGGCGGAGCCUGUGGGCCAUGCUCGGUCAAAUCUCAGUGUUUUUCUGAACAUCCCGGUGCCCAAGAGAGCAGGAGACCUGCAAAUGACCACUGAGUCUGACACAGAGAGGGACAGGUGCUGCCUUCCCCACCCAGGGGUACACAGCAGGGGUCAGAGGAGAGAGGAGAGCUGCUAAGAGAGAGGUCUGGAUCACAGGUUGGGCAGGGCUGCGAUAAACUUAUCAAGAAGAAAUGAGGACAUCCCAGCCAAGAUAGCAGAGAGGAAGGUUCAGGGUGCAUGGAGGGAGGGGCGGGGUCAGCUGGAAAGUUUGAAAUCUAGGUCACCAGCCAGCAGUAGAGGAGCUAGAAAGGUCAGGGGUCACUGGCAACAGUGUCACUGGACCCUGUGUCCCAGUAGUAAUAACACUUACGAUUUUGUAAGAUAGUUCACAAAGCAUCUUGGUAAUUAACAUUAGAUUCUCAAUUACUUUAUAUAAGAAAAAGUAAUUGAGAAUCUAAUGUUAAAUUAUAUUCAGAGGAUAUAAUUCAGACUUUAAAAAAGAAGGAAACCCGGUCCAGUGAUGGCUUGGAUGAGUCUUGAGCUUGUUAUACUGAAUGAGGUUAAGUCAUAUUAACUAAAAUAUACUGGAAUAAGCCAGAAUCAGAGGGACCUAAUGACUCCACAUAGGUGAGGCCCCUUGAGCACUCAGAGUUACAAGAGGGGAGUUUGUGGAGCCGGGACUGGGGAGGCUUGGGUUUCAAGUGGAUGGUUUCAACUUGGAAAAUUGGAAAACCUUGGUGAUGGGCAGAGCAGGACGAUGGGGGCAGGAGGAUGAGGGGUGAGCGGAGGGGUGAUGGGUGGCAGGAACCACUACGUAACAGGGAACUUGCUGAAUGUGGAGAACAGGAGGUUUGGAAAUGACUAACGUGAUGGAGGCAGGAGGAUUAGAGGUUCAAGGUCAUCCUUGGUUUCCUAGGGCGCUAGGCUACAUGAGAUGCUGUCUCAUAAAACAAAACAAAAACUGAAAAGGCAGUUUCCACCGACCAUCACCUCAAUUUCAUAACCCAACCAUUUGGCAUUUAAAAAGAAAAAACAUAAAAGAUCCAUUUGACCUUGUGUCCCUACCUCUGGAGCAGAAACAGUGAUAAAAUCCUACAGGAGUAGAGGCAGGAGCCCGGCACACCGAGACAAGAUGUAGUACCAGACCCGGAGCCCAGGAUGGCAGCCCAUCCCAGAGCCAGGGGCAGAGCUGUGGUCUCCAGUCCCCAAGGCCCUGAGGAGCAGGAGUCUGGAGCAUUAGAUCCCAGAGGACAGCACAUGGGGUGGCCACAGUCAAGUGACAUCGCAGCCUCAGGGGACCCAGGGGACACCCCAGCUCCUCCUGUUCUGCUAUAGGAUGAGUUCAAGGCUUGAUCCUCAGACUGGUAACACUGGGAAGCGGAGGAACCUUUAUGUGGCAGACUCCGUGGAAGGUCUAGGGACAUUGGUUCAACGGGACUGUGGGACCCUGGUAUCUGCCUUUUCCUCUGCUCCCUGUCCCAUGAGGAAGCUCUUCGCUCUCCUGUGCCCCUGCCACGCUGUGCUGCCCUCAUCCAAAGCCCAUACAAGGGGCCAAGUGAUCACCGACUGAAACAUCCAAAGGAGUGAGCUGAAACAACCCUUUCUCUUCGUCAGCCAGUGACUUUGUUACUAUGAUGGCGGCCUGCCUAAUACACCUCCCUUCCUCCCUCCUCUGACUAGCUAGAACUUUCUCUUUGACUCAGCUGCAGGCACAGGCCUUGCAGGUCAGUCUCCUGGCACAUGCCCAGGGAAGGCUAGGAAUGGACGUAGCACAGAGGUUGCGUCAGGGUCAGGAGGGAGCCCAACCCCAGAGACACAAUGAAGGAGGCUCACGUGAUGUUAUAGUGACAGGCACGUGGUAGAGUUAAGGAGACAAUGACAGCAGGAAGCCAUGCUCAUCCGUGGACACUCCAGGAAGAGAGGACAUGGUGCAGGCAGACCUAGACAUGCAUCUGGCAUGUGGCUCUGUGGCGCAGCAUUUACCUGGCAUGUGAUGUCGGGGAAGCUCAUCCAUUCAGCUCACUCGUCCUUGUACCCAGAGAUUCCCAGUGGCUGAGUGAGCUAAAAGCCACCUGCUAGGCAAAGGAAACCGGGCAGCCUAGUCAGCUGAGGUCUGCAGUGUAUGGUAUGGGGGCAGAGGGAGUGCCGAGACUGUGUGCAGGUAGGUGUGUGAGACCAGCAGGUCAGAUUGGGAGAUAGAGUGGCUGCCUGAGGGCUGGCUGGAGGUCCUCUGUAACCUCAGAGAGGGAACUGCGUUCCACUGAUGACCAGAGCUGGUGCAGAGGCUGGGCGCUUUUGAAGUGUCUGACCUGGGAGGGGAAGGUAAAGAGAUGGCAAGUGAGAAGGGGAAUGGGCUUAAGGAGGGGAUGCAGAGUUUCAAAGCCACAGGGAAAGACCUAAAUGGAGAGGGGAAAGUUGGCUGUACAAGAAAAGAAAGAAUUUGCUAUCUCUGCAGCUCCUGAGAAGGAUG